rnacentral:rRNA from 1 species
GACGAACGCUGGCGGCGCGCUUAACACAUGCAAGUCGAACGGAAAGGCCUGCUUUCCCUUGUGGAUUGCGGGUACUCGAGUGGCGAACGGGUGAGUAACACGUGAGUGAUCUGCCCCCAACUUGGGUAUAAGCCUGGGAAACUGGGUCUAAUUCCCGAUAGGACUGCAGGGUGGUGCCUGUGGUGGAAAACGAUGUUCUAGUGGUUGGGGAUGAGCUCGCGGCCUAUCAGCUUGUUGGUGGGGUAAUGGGCUACCAAGGCGGCGACGGGUAGCCGGCCUGAGAGGGUGGACGGGCAACUUGGGAAUGAGAUACGGCCCAGUAUCCUACGGGAGGCAGCAGUGGGGAAUAUUGCACAAUGGGCGGAAGCCUGAUGCAGCGACGCCGCGUGGGGGAUGACGGCCUUCGGGUUGUAAACUCCUUUCGACCGCGAGGAAGCCACCUGGUUGGAGGGGUGGUGACGGUAGUGGUAGAAGAAGCACCGGCUAACUACGUG